rnacentral:rRNA from 1 species
CCUACGGGAGGCUGCAGUGGGGAAUAUUGCACAAUGGGCGCAAGCCUGAUGCAGCCAUGCCGCGUGUGUGAAGAAGGCCUUCGGGUUGUAAAGCACUUUCAGCGGGGAGGAAGGCGUUAAGGUUAAUAACCUUGGCGAUUGACGUUACCCGCAGAAGAAGCACCGGCUAACUCCGUGCCAGCAGCCGCGGUAAUACGGGAGGGUGCAAGCGUUAAUCGGAAUUACUGGGCGUAAAGCGCACGCAGGCGGUCUGUCAAGUCGGAUGUGAAAUCCCCGGGCUCAACCUGGGAACUGCAUUCGAAACUGGCAGGCUAGAGUCUUGUAGAGGGGGGUAGAAUUCCAGGUGUAGCGGUGAAAUGCGUAGAGAUCUGGAGGAAUACCGGUGGCGAAGGCGGCCCCCUGGACAAAGACCGACGCUCAGGUGCGAAAGCGUGGGGAGCAAACAGGAUUAGAUACCCCGGUAGUC